AUGAACGCUAGCUACAGGCUUAACACAUGCAAGUCGAGGGGCAGCAUGAACUUAGCUUGCUAAGUUUGAUGGCGACCGGCGCACGGGUGAGUAACACGUAUCCAACCUGCCGAUGACUCGGGGAUAGCCUUUCGAAAGAAAGAUUAAUACCCGAUGGCAUAGUUCUUCCGCAUGGUAGAACUAUUAAAGAAUUUCGGUCAUCGAUGGGGAUGCGUUCCAUUAGGUUGUUGGCGGGGUAACGGCCCACCAAGCCUUCGAUGGAUAGGGGUUCUGAGAGGAAGGUCCCCCACAUUGGAACUGAGACACGGUCCAAACUCCUACGGGAGGCAGCAGUGAGGAAUAUUGGUCAAUGGACGAGAGUCUGAACCAGCCAAGUAGCGUGAAGGAUGACUGCCCUAUGGGUUGUAAACUUCUUUUAUACGGGAAUAAAGUGAGGCACGCGUGCCUUUUUGUAUGUACCGUAUGAAUAAGGAUCGGCUAACUCCGUGCCAGCAGCCGCGGUAAUACGGAGGAUCCGAGCGUUAUCCGGAUUUAUUGGGUUUAAAGGGAGCGUAGGCGGACGCUUAAGUCAGUUGUGAAAGUUUGCGGCUCAACCGUAAAAUUGCAGUUGAUACUGGGUGUCUUGAGUACAGUAGAGGCAGGCGGAAUUCGUGGUGUAGCGGUGAAAUGCUUAGAUAUCACGAAGAACUCCGAUUGCGAAGGCAGCCUGCUGGACUGUAACUGACGCUGAUGCUCGAAAGUGUGGGUAUCAAACAGGAUUAGAUACCCUGGUAGUCCAUGCCGUAAACGAUGAUUACUAGGUGUUGGAGGAUUGACCCCUUCAGUGCCGCAGUUAACACAAUAAGUAAUCCACCUGGGGAGUACGACCGCAAGGUUGAAACUCAAAGGAAUUGACGGGGGCCCGCACAAGCAGUGGAGUAUGUGGUUUAAUUCGAAGCAACGCGAAGAACCUUACCAAGUCUUGACAUCCUUCUGACCGGUACUUAACCGUACCUUCUCUUCGGAGCAGGAGUGACAGGUGGUGCAUGGUUGUCGUCAGCUCGUGUCGUGAGAUGUUGGGUUAAGUCCCGCAACGAGCGCAACCCUUAUUGCCAGUUACUACGCAAGAGGACUCUGGCGAGACUGCCGUUGACAAAACGGAGGAAGGUGGGGAUGACGUCAAAUCAGCACGGCCCUUACGUCCGGGGCUACACACGUGUUACAAUGGGGGGUACAGAAGGCAGCUACACGGCGACGUGAUGCUAAUCCCGAAAGCCUCUCUCAGUUCGGAUUGGAGUCUGCAACCCGACUCCAUGAAGCUGGAUUCGCUAGUAAUCGCGCAUCAGCCACGGCGCGGUGAAUACGUUCCCGGGCCUUGUACACACCGCCCGUCAAGCCAUGAAAGCCGGGGGUACCUGAAGUGCGUAACCGCAAGGAGCGCCCUAGGGUAAAACUGGUGAUUGGGGCU
rnacentral:rRNA from 1 species